UGACCGGUUAUGGUGCCAAAGUCAUCCUUUCAAGCCAUCUAGUAUAGAAUCUAUCUCUAUGUAUCGAUUUCAUGUAUUUUUAGUUUCUGGUUGUGUCUUAUUUUGAUCUUUGGAUUAUAUUCUUGCCAUUGGUGGCUUUGAUUUGGAGAGGUACAUUUGUUCUUGUUUCUUAUUUUUCAAUUGUUUUAGAAAAAAGGAAUUAUUAGUGUAGGCACAAUGAGUUUUGUUUUAAUCUUGUCGAUCCUGCAAAUUGGUACAUAUACUUGAUUUAUUUUCAUUUUUUUUGUUGACCAUAUACUGAAAUCAUUCUCAUUUCCUACCAAAUACAUUUAAAAACUUUUGGUGUCUUUCUCUUCUUAAUGUGUCUAAUUGUCUAGUUUUUUUAAAAAAAUUUACAACUCACUCUUCUAUCUAAGUGUUUAGUUUUUAUCUAAUCCUCUAAGUUGUACUCACAUUUUUCUUCCCUUGUCAAGUGCCUUGUUUUGUUGCCACUUACUGUCAUGAGCUUAAGUGGAUGGUUAAAUAUUUCUUCUUUAUUUAAUAUAUUGUUAUGCUCUCCCUGUCCAAACCUGAAUAUAUGAUUUAUGCAUGUCUUCUUGAUCUUUNNNNNNNNNNNNNNNNNNNNNNNNNNNNNNNNNNNNNNNNNNNNNNNNNNNNNNAGUUAUGAGCUCAUGACUCAUUGUAAACUUAUUUUCAUAUUCUUCUGGCUCUGUUUGGACCUUUUAAUAUGAUAUAAUUUUCAUAUUGUUCUCAUUAUUAUACUCCUUGUUUGUUUGUUUGUUUGGUUUUUUUUUGUUGAUAUGGUCAUUGUUCGUGGUCAUGGUAUGAUUGAACCUACCUAAUAGAGCUUAUUUGGAACAUCUUUGGGAUGAUUUCUCUGGGUUUUUGAGGAUUAAUUUUUUUUUUAUAAAAAAAGCAAAGACUCUUCAUUCAAACAGUCCUUAAACAGAAAUAAUCAUGUCUACCACAGAAACAUGUUCCAAUUUUUGAACACAAAAUAAGUAAUAUGUGACUACAAUGAGAGAUACUCUUAGCAUCGCAUGUCUUUGAUUUAAGCAACUGUCAUGUUAAUUUAGAAUGUGUGGCUUAACUUGAGUGUAUUGUCCGAAAACAGGUUGAUGUGAGAUUUAGGAGGAGGGUGUAUGAGCUUAUGUCCCUUUCAAAUAAUAUGUGGAAUUUUAGAAGUAUGAGGGUGUCAAGUGAAUGAGUGGUAAAAAGCUUAAUUUUUGUGUGAAUAUAUUUUUUUGCUCAAGUUUAAAUGAUUAAGAAUGGUUUAAUAAACUCACUUUCCUUUAUUGGUGGUGUAGGCUUCAUUGGUAGUGUAUGCUCUUCUUAAAUCCUGUUGCUCCUUCCUUCCUUUGCAGGUAAACAUCUUCUAGUCCAAUCCUAAAAGAAAUUUUUUGGCACACAUUUGAAUUUUUUUUUUAGUUAUGUUCAUAAAUUACAAAAAUAAACCAUAAAUUUACUUACCUAUUAGAGAAUAUCAGGGAGUUAUAAAUGUAGAAGCAACACAUGCAUCUAUGAAAUUUGAGUUUCCACUUUGUUAACAUUCUUGAUUGAUAUGUAUGUCAAUGUUUCUAAGGAACAAAUAAUAACUAAUUGGAAACUUCUAUGAACUUUGUAUGGUUGUGCAUCUCAAUGNNNNNNNNNNNNAUGUUUUCAUUGUCUAUUUGCAGAAAAGUAAUUGUUAAUAGAUUGCACCACAAAUUAUUUGGUAUGACUCAAAUUCUUUUACUAAUGACAUAUUCAUGUAAUACCAAAUUAAAUUUGAUAGAAAAUCAUUUCUUUACCUUUGUGAAACACAAGUAAGAUCCUUGAAAGAAGUGAGGCUCACCUAUAAAAAAAAAUCAAAGAACAAAAAUUACAAAAUUUAAGUCUCAAACAAAGUAACAUAAUAAAUUGGAUUUGGAUCCUCUCCUUUUAUUGUUCUUAGCCUCAUGCUUUGUUCAUAUAUUCAUGCUCCACUAAAAGAUUGACUGUGAAUGGAGAUCUAAUUAAAUGAUUUUAGCAUUUUCAGGCUCAAGAAAUCAAUGUAAACAAACAAAAACGAAAUGAAGAUUGGUCAUGUUAUGGCUGUUUAGUGGUAAAGGAAGCUGAAUGAAGGGAUGGUUGUUUAGUGCUGAAGGAAGAUGAAUGAAGAGAAGACUAUAUAUUGUUAAAAUUUUGUUCUAAUAAUACCAAAUUGUCCUUCUACUUGGUCUCCAAGAUUUGUUGUUAUUAGUAUAAAUGUGUAAUAAGAUGGGGAGGAGCGUCAAGAGACUUUUGUUCCAAUCCAAACUCUUGGCAUUACACAUAAAGACAAAAUUUGUAAGGAUAAUAAUAUAAAAUCAUUUAGAAGAAGUACAACAAAACACUAGACAUGAGCUGACAUUGUGAGGAUAAACAAGUAAAACAAAAGUGAUAAAAAUAAAAGUGGGAGUUUUGUUGUAACAAAAAUAAACGAAAAUGAAAAAUUAAUAGGGGCUAUCUAGGUAGUGGGGUCCACUCCAAAGUGGGACACUCCCUAUAAAAAACUUUUUCCCAAAUUUGAAAGCUAACUUUGGAUGUGGCUUCAUUUGGAGUAAAAUAGCAAUCACUUAUGCCACCACGUGUCAACAAUUUCAAUGAACAGUGCUUUUAAGGCACUAAGCAGUUUUCCUCUAUUAUAAGGGUUUUUGAUUAUAUGAUAUAUUUGAUUCAAUAAAAAUAAAUAAAUUCAUGAUAUAUGUUGCAAUAUGUAAUGUACUUUUUCAGGUCU
rnacentral:lncRNA from 1 species